GAGAGUGCCCGAGUCGCUGUCCUUUUGUCGACGAUGUGAGUAGAGCUUGAAAGUACCUUGUGGGUCCUGGAGAUGGAGAACUCUGGUCCUCAUGCUUGGUGUUUCUCUUUCAGUAAAGCAAGAUCAACUCUGCCAUCACCCAGGCAAUUAACUCUGUGACUAUAGUUCACCUGAGAACUCUAUUCCCGUCCACUUGCGAGGUGCUGGGACCUGAAUUUCAC